rnacentral:rRNA from 1 species
UACGUAGGGGGGCGAGCGUUGUCCGAAGUUACUGGGCGUAAAGCGUACGUAGGCGGCCCCGUAAGUUGCAUCUGAAAGGUGACAGCUCAACUGUCAACGGUGGUGCAAGACUGCAGGGCUUGAGGCAAGUAGAAGAAUGUGGAACUCCGAGUGUAGCGGUGGAAUGCGUAGAGAUUCGGAAGAACACCCAAGGCGAAGGCAGCAUUCUAGACUUGUCCUGACGCUGAGGUACGAAAGCCAGGGGAGCGAACGGG